GCCUCGGUGGCUCAGCCGGCAGAGCGCGUGCUUGGUAAGCACGAGGCCGCGGGUUCAAAUCCCGCCCGAGGCU
rfam:Candidatus Syntrophoarchaeum butanivorans isolate BOX1 BOX1_11reassembly_contig02, whole genome shotgun sequence.